UAAUUUUGUUUUGAGCACCUAGGAAUUAGC
rnacentral:piRNA from 1 species